rnacentral:piRNA from 1 species
UUUGAUUCUCUGUACCUGCCAUGUU